AUGGCAGCUUUGUCUCACUGUAAGGCAACCC
rnacentral:piRNA from 1 species